rnacentral:rRNA from 1 species
CCCGCUGAACUUAAGCAUAUCAAUAAGCGGAGGAAAAGAAACUAACAAGGAUUCCCCUAGUAACUGCGAGUGAAGCGGGAAAAGCUCAAAUUUAAAAUCUGGCGGUCUCUGGCCGUCCGAGUUGUAAUCUAGAGAAGUGCUGCCCGCGCUGGACCGCGUACAAGUCUCCUGGAAUGGAGCGUCAUAGAGGGUGAGAAUCCCGUCUCUGACAUGGACUACCAGGGCUUUGUGGUACGCUCUCCAAGAGUCGAGUUGUUUGGGAAUGCAGCUCAAAAUGGGUGGUAAAUUCCAUCUAAAGCUAAAUAUUGUCGAGAGACCGAUAGCGAACAAGUACCGCGAGGGAAAGAUGAAAAGAACUUUGGAAAGAGAGUUAAACAGUACGUGAAAUUGCUGAAAGGGAAACGCUUGAAGUCAGUCGCGUUGGCCGGGGAUCAGCCUCGCUUUUGCGUGCGUGUACUUUCUGGUUGACGGGUCAGCAUCAAUUUUGACCGCUGGAAAAAGGCUUGGGGAAUGUGGCAGCUUCCGCUGUGUUAUAGCCCCUUGUCACAUACAGCGGUUGGGAUUGAGGAACUCAGCACGCCGCAAGGCCGGGUUUCGACCACGUUCGUGCUUAGGAUGCUGGCAUAAUGGCUUUAAGCGACCCGUCUUGAAACACGG